rnacentral:rRNA from 1 species
AGUGAACGCUGGCGGUAGGCCUAACACAUGCAAGUCGAACGGCAGCACAGUAAGAGCUUGCUCUUACGGGUGGCGAGUAGCGGACGGGUGAGGAAUACAUCGGAAUCUACUUUUUCGUGGGGGAUAACGUAGGGAAACUUACGCUAAUACCGCAUACGACCUACGGGUGAAAGCAUGGGAUCUUCGGACCUUGCGCGAUUGAAUGAGCCGAUGUCGGAUUAGCUAGUUGGCGGGGUAAAGGCCCACCAAGGCGACGAUCCGUAGCUGGUCUGAGAGGAUGAUCAGGCACACUGGAACUGAGACACGGUCCAGAACCCUACGGGAGGCAGCAGUGGGGAAUAUUGGACAAAGGGCGGAAGCCUGAUCCAGCCAUACCGCGUGGGUGAAGAAGGCCUUCGGGUUGUAAAGCCCUUUUGUUGGGAAAGAAAAGCAGCAGGUUAAUACCCCGCUGUUCUGACGGUACCCAAAGAAUAAGCACCGGCUAACUUCGUG